UUAAAAAUAAGCUAAUAAAAGCUUUUGGGUUCAUACCUCAUACCUCAAAUAUAAAGAUAUCUCUUUUUUUUAAA
rnacentral:tRNA from 1 species